rnacentral:rRNA from 1 species
GGACGAGAAGCUUGCUUCUCUGAUGUUAGCGGCGGACGGGUGAGUAACACGUGGAUAACCUACCUAUAAGACUGGGAUAACUUCGGGAAACCGGAGCUAAUACCGGAUAAUAUUUUGAACCGCAUGGUUCAAAAGUGAAAGACGGUCUUGCUGUCACUUAUAGAUGGAUCCGCGCUGCAUUAGCUAGUUGGUAAGGUAACGGCUUACCAAGGCAACGAUGCAUAGCCGACCUGAGAGGGUGAUCGGCCACACUGGAACUGAGACACGGUCCAGACUCCUACGGGAGGCAGCAGUAGGGAAUCUUCCGCAAUGGGCGAAAGCCUGACGGAGCAACGCCGCGUGAGUGAUGAAGGUCUUCGGAUCGUAAAACUCUGUUAUUAGGGAAGAACAUAUGUGUAAGUAACUGUGCACAUCUUGACGGUACCUAAUCAGAAAGCCACGGCUAACUACGUGCCAGCAGCCGCGGUAAUACGUAGGUGGCAAGCGUUAUCCGGAAUUAUUGGGCGUAAAGCGCGCGUAGGCGGUUUUUUAAGUCUGAUGUGAAAGCCCACGGCUCAACCGUGGAGGGUCAUUGGAAACUGGAAAACUUGAGUGCAGAAGAGGAAAGUGGAAUUCCAUGUGUAGCGGUGAAAUGCGCAGAGAUAUGGAGGAACACCAGUGGCGAAGGCGACUUCUGGUCUGUAACUGACGCUGAUGUGCGAAAGCGUGGGGAUCAAACAGGAUUAGAUACCCUGGUAGUCCACGCCGUAAACGAUGAGUGCUAAGUGUUAGGGGGUUUCCGCCCCUUAGUGCUGCAGCUAACGCAUUAAGCACUCCGCCUGGGGAGUACGACCGCAAGGUUGAAACUCAAAGGAAUUGACGGGGACCCGCACAAGCGGUGGAGCAUGUGGUUUAAUUCGAAGCAACGCGAAGAACCUUACCAAAUCUUGACAUCCUUUGACAACUCUAGAGAUAGAGCCUUCCCCUUCGGGGGACAAAGUGACAGGUGGUGCAUGGUUGUCGUCAGCUCGUGUCGUGAGAUGUUGGGUUAAGUCCCGCAACGAGCGCAACCCUUAAGCUUAGUUGCCAUCAUUAAGUUGGGCACUCUAAGUUGACUGCCGGUGACAAACCGGAGGAAGGUGGGGAUGACGUCAAAUCAUCAUGCCCCUUAUGAUUUGGGCUACACACGUGCUACAAUGGACAAUACAAAGGGCAGCGAAACCGCGAGGUCAAGCAAAUCCCAUAAAGUUGUUCUCAGUUCGGAUUGUAGUCUGCAACUCGACUACAUGAAGCUGGAAUCGCUAGUAAUCGUAGAUCAGCAUGCUACGGUGAAUACGUUCCCGGGUCUUGUACACACCGCCCGUCACACCACGAGAGUUUGUAACACCCGAAGCCGGUGGA